GAAUGAGUGUGUGAAAGAAGGAAGCAGACAUCUCAGCCACUGUGUAGACCAGGUAUCAUAUCAAUCCUAUGUGGAAUCCUCAGGAACAGUAGGAACUGAUGCAGAUUUGGGCCUCACAGGCACUAAAAGAAAAAGUUCAAAGCAAAUGCAGUAUCAGGGUGAGAAUCUUCAUUUUAUACUUUGUUAAUACGUGUAACCUAACUAAAUCUGGAUUUCAAAGAUUAAACAGAAAUUCAUAUGGACAUCCAGAAAGAAGGCAAAAAAAAAAAAAAAAAAAAAAGGUCAAGUACAGAUAGCUUCAGAUUCCUCCCUAGCAAUCUUCUCUACAGAAGACAGAGGAGAAGGUUUAUACCUUUGUUGUUCAGAAAUGCGACUCACGCACCAGCAGCUCCGGGAUUACUUGGGAGCUUAUUAGGAAUGCAGGAUCUCUGCUGCCAUUCCAUAUCUACUGAAUCAGAAUCUGCACGUGACCAGAUUUUUAGGUGAUUCUUAUGCAUACGAAAUUCUGAGGGAACAAAAAUGUGAUACAGUUUUUAAAAGUCCACCCAAAGAGUCUCUAGUAUAGAGACAACAAAUUCUCAAAUCUGAAAGAAUAAAGCAGUGAUUCUCAACCAGGCUGCUUCUUUGACCCUUGUUUGUAACUUCCUUUGGCCUUUUUGUUUUUUCCUACUAAGAGCGCUUAUUCUCUUAGUGUAAUUUCUCUGAGAUUGGAGAUAUUUACUCGUCUGUACAUUAGGACCCUUUGAGAAUUUUUAAAAAAUACUGUUGCAUGGAUCAUACUGUUAGAGAAACUGGUUGAAUUGGUUUGGAAUGAUAGCCAAAAGUCAUUGGUUUUUCAGAAGCUCUCAGGUCAUUACAGUAUGAAGCCAAGGUUGAGAAUCAUUGACUCAAGGGAAAAUCAACCCAUAAAUCUCAAGAGGGUUUCUCUUGAAAGAACCACUGAAAGAUGGACACCAGACAACAAAGCAAGGAAUCAAGAGAAAGAGCUUAGGAAUGAAGAAGUUGUGGCGAGAGAAACACCUCAAGUCCUGGGAGUAAGAAGCCCAUUGUCUUCCCGAAACAAAGCAGCAGAGCAAAUUUACAUCAAGACAAACAGCCGACUUCUCCGGGGCUCAGCAUCUCUUCACCUCCUCAGGGGUCCCAGGGAACCGCUGGGAUCGCGGGCUCGCGAGCCCUGGGGCCGACGGGCGGUAGCUGCUGCCCUCUAGCGGAGCUCCUUGUUACUGCAGACUCUAGGUUGACCAAUGCCUGGGAAAGAAAGGUUUGAAUGAUGCGGAUAACCGAGAACUUUGUAGUCUGUAAUUCUCUCGGAAUGAAUUAACACAUUUUUUUUUGUAAUUACCUGAAUAAAUAGUCAUUUAAAUGUUUUCUGGGGCA
rnacentral:lncRNA from 1 species